AAUAGAGUGUGGUAUGAGAUAAUUCUUCCCAUGCCAACCCUUUUCCUAUAUACUAGUACUAAGGUACCAAGUGUUACAACCCAUAUGGGAUAUCUCCUAGGACCAGCCUUCCCCUUGUACUCUAAUACACUAUAGACCAACACGUAACCUUAUGAGAUAUCCCUAACAACACUUGUACUCUAUUGACCAUUAGCAACUACUUAAAGAGUUCUUUCCUUCAACACUCCCACUUUGCUAUUGGUCAAUUACUUAUCAAUCCUAAUGCCUUACUCAACUUGUUGUGUCUUUCUCUAACUAAGGCUUUUGUCAACAAAACAGCCAACAUGUCUUUGGUUUCACAAUACAUCAUAUCAAUAACCCACAUUUCUAUCUUCUC
rnacentral:lncRNA from 1 species